rnacentral:misc_RNA from 1 species
UUCUCAUUGGUGCAAUACAAAGCCUGGGUAUUACUUUGAUUAAAGUUUCCUUAAAAUCAAAUGCGGCUCAUUGUCUUCAUAAAACAAAAGGUGAAGAUUGUAUUUCACAGAAGAAAAAAAAGAGUUGCACUUUCUGUAUAAUUUGAUGUUUUAGAGAAAGGCACCAUUUUGUGGCAUCCACUUCAGAACUGAUCAGAAAUUCUUCAAGUUAGAUACUUUUGAACUAUCGACUAUGAACAUAUAAAGUGCUGUUAAAAGUAUAUUACAACUCCCCCCCCCCACUAAGACCAGUGCGUUUGACUACACUAAAUAGCUACAAAAGGUGGCGCAUGUAUCUUUUAUGAAACAACUAUAAAUAAAUAGUUGUCACUAUAAAAGUUCCUAUGCUUGUACUUGCAUGUAGUAAUUCUUAUUCCUUAUAGUGAAAGCGGAUUUUAUAUUUGCAAUAUUUUGUAAUUUUGAAAUUUUGUCUCUGCCAUAUCUUAAUAGUAACCGAAUUUGAGCAUCUUUUGUAGCAGCACUGUUUAAAAAGCAAUGGCAGAAACAGAAAGCACAUUUCCAUAACUAAGAAAUUCAAUAACACUUUGACUCUUUAUCACAGAGGAAUUCAUUGUAUCAGCAAAACAAUGAGUCACAUUGAAAGAAACAUGGAGAAAGAUAACCAACAUUGUCAGAGCUAUCACUUUUCACUUACGAUCGACGAAAAAUUCUUACACAAGCUUGUGGUUGUUGAUGUUAUAGUAAGGAGAAGUGCUUAUUUUCCGCAUUUGAAAAUCGGGAACAAUGCUCCCCAUUGCAAGUGCAGACAUCAAUCCAUCAGGAAACAUUGUGCAUGUCUCAGUAAAUUACAAUUUUUAAUGCAUUGAAAAAUGAUCCAGACAUCAGAUUGAAGAUAUCACAACAUUGAAGUUUUUCAGUGCAUCCUUGUAUAGCCCUUUUCUAGUAAAAAGAUUUAAAUUUUUAUUGGCAACACUUUGGGUGAAGAUUUUGACUAGGAUCAUUAAAGUGUGUAUUAAUCAGAAGCGUUUAACAUGUCAUGAUGCCAUCUUGCCCAAUUUGUCUUCACAUUUCAACUGCUGCAAAGAUGUGUGGACAUGUUUUUUGCUCUCCCAGCAUUCUACUUUAUUUGGCUUUAACUGAUAAAUCUUGGCAAAAAUGUUCUAUUUGUUUUGAAGCAGUGCAUAAAAUGGAUUUAAAAAGGUGAUUCCAGAAAUUACUUAUGGCUGGUCAGAAGGAAGUCUUUUCUGUCAUUGAAAGAGAGAGAGCUGCUUAUGAAAUGAUCACUCCAGAGGCUUGCUUUAUGGAAUCUGCCUUUACGCUACUUCAUGAAAGGGAUAUUGCUUUAAACCAGAAUGUAGAUCAACUAAAGGAGCUCAUUUAUAGAAGCAAUGGUAAUGUACCAGAGAGAAAACAUCUUAUUUCAACAAGUUUAACUGAGUCUUAUGAAGAAUUACAUGAAAG